UAGGAAUUUCGUCGAACAUGGGAUGACUGACGAAAAACUAUGUAAUGUUUCCGAAGAGGCCUAUGCUCCAUAUUAACUCCCUGUGUUUACGAAAGGCUAUUUAUUUAUUUUCGACAAGAAGCCAGCUCAUUUGCUGAUAAGCCAGUUUGCUUGAUAUGAUAUCAUUGGGGAAGUCGCGAAGGUUAUUUAUUUAUUUUCGACAAUUUCUGUUUUUGUGAAUUUUUGAGUUGCUAACAAGAUUCAUAUGUAUCCAUUGUUGUUUCCU
rnacentral:lncRNA from 1 species